GACGAACGCUGGCGGCGUGCUUAACACAUGCAAGUCGAACGGAAAGGCCCUGCAUUUGUGGGGUGCUCGAGUGGCGAACGGGUGAGUAACACGUGAGUAACCUGCCCUUGACUUUGGGAUAACUUCAGGAAACUGGGGCUAAUACCGGAUAGGAGCUCCUGCUGCAUGGUGGGGGUUGGAAAGUUUCGGCGGUUGGGGAUGGACUCGCGGCUUAUCAGCUGGUUGGUGGGGUAGUGGCUUACCAAGGCUUUGACGGGUAGCCGGCCUGAGAGGGUGACCGGCCACAUUGGGACUGAGAUACGGCCCAGACUCCUACGGGAGGCAGCAGUGGGGAAUAUUGCACAAUGGGCGGAAGCCUUAUGCAGCAACGCCGCGUGCGGGAUGACGGCCUUCGGGUUGUAAACCGCUUUCGCCUGUGACGAAGCGUGAGUGACGGUAAUGGGUAAAGAAGCACCGGCUAACUACGUG
rnacentral:rRNA from 1 species